GUGCCCAACCAGCUGUCUUUUUUUUUUGCAGACAUGAGAAGGAAAGGAGGUCCGUUUUCGUUUAUGGCAAUAGUUGCUUGCUUUCAUGGAACUUGGAAUGGAGCCUGUUGUUGGCUGGCUAGCCUUGCUCCGGCCAAACGCUGCGGCGGUUAGUUUCUUUCCGCAAUGAAGUAGCUAUUUAACGUUACCAAGUGAACAGAUCGGAAUAAUUGAGUUUUAGUCGUCAGGUAAGACAAAUUGCUAAAGCCUUAAGUGGUAAGGAAGCUCCUAGCUAAACAAUAAACAAAAAAUGCAAAACCAAUGCUGCCUCUAGCACUGGCUAAAAUAUAUCUAGGUUGUGCCACCAUUCAGGUCUUCAGACAUGGGAGGGCUGCAAAUGGGAAUAACACGAUCCCCCUUCAAGCAUGCGGACUGAAUGAAUUGCAUCAACUCUUAAGGAAAGCAUGCGCCGUCAACUCCAUUGAAGAUGAUUCAACUCUAGUCAAUGCGUUUUGACGACUAAGCAUGGACCUGCUGGAACUGGAUUGACGGUUAAAUGGAAAGGGUAUUAAAGGAAAAAUGAAAUUUGGUGGACUGCUUGCAUUUCAGCAGGAAAUUAUCCAGACUAAGCAUGGAACUGCUGGGACUGGAUUGUUGGUUAAAUGGAAAGGGUAUUAAAGGAAAAAUGAAAUUUGGUGGACUGCUUGCAUUUCAGCAGGAAAUUAUCCAGGAAUACAUGUGUGUUUUACAUUCAAUCGAGUUGAAGCAUAGGCAGACAACAUGGCACUGCUUGGACUGGAUUGAUAUUUCGUUGAGUCGAUACAAGACAUGCAGAUUGUAUGGAAUGCGACAACUCCAUUGAAGGAUUGUUUCUUUCUGGACUUGGGUGGGGAACAGAAUGUUACACCCUGCAGAUUCACGAAACUCCAGGCCAGACUGUUUGGCUCAGCCGCCACCAGCUUUGUUCACAUGGCCCUUUGAUACAUCUAACCCUGGAGUGUCACUGCAUAAUCCUCUUGUCUUGCAAUGUCAGUGUUUUCUGAACAAAUGUACCACAUAAUGAAUUGAAUGUAUGGUCCCAACUGCAUAGACAGUGGAACAGUGUCAAGCGGUGAACAAUAAAAUUGACCUUUGUAC